rnacentral:rRNA from 1 species
UACGUAGGGUCCGAGCGUUUGUCCGGAAUUACUGGGCGUAAAGGGCGCGCAGGCGGUCUUCCAAGUCGGAUGUGAAAGCCCGGGCUCAACCUGGGAACUGCAUUCGAGACUGGGGACUUGAGUUCGGGAGAGGAGAGCGGAAUUCCCAGUGUAGAGGUGAAAUUCGUAGAUAUUGGGAAGAACACCGGUGGCGAAGGCGGCUACUCUGGACCGAUACUGAACGCUAG